rnacentral:lncRNA from 1 species
UCCUAUUAAAGAAAUCACCCUCCCAGAAUUGAAUCUAGAAGUUAAUAAACUUAAAAAGGAAAUUACUAAUCUCAAAUUAGAAGUUUCUAAUUUAAAAAAGGAUUUUGAAGAUAAAAAAUAUGGUCUUCAAGUUAACGAUUCCUCAUCCAGUGAUGAAAACCAUGAUGAUGAACCUGAGUCUUCUGGCAUCAAAAAUGAUCCUGAUCUUUUUGUUCAAGGUCUCACGCUUAAAAGAAUUAAAGACAUUACCAUUCAAAAAUGGUACAUCUCAGUU